rnacentral:lncRNA from 1 species
GGAACACGUGACCUAUUAGCAACGUUCAACAUGUUGAGAAGGUGAAAACUUGAUGUUAGAAUGGAGAAGGCGUAACAGGUUAAGUUCCAGGCUUCCAGGCAACAUUUUGAAAAGAUUCUCCUUGUUCUCAGAGCUGCAAACAUCCAGGAGGAAAUCCCUGCUCAGUAUGCAGUAUUUUAUGAUAUGCGUAUCUUUGUUCUUCAUAACUUCAAAACUUUAAAUAAACGUUACUGGUUUAUUGUAUGU